rnacentral:rRNA from 1 species
GACGAACGCUGGCGGCGUGCCUAAUACAUGCAAGUUGAGCGAUGAAGAUUGGUGCUUGCACCAAUUUGAAGAGCAGCGAACGGGUGAGUAACGCGUGGGGAAUCUGCCUUUGAGCGGGGGACAACAUUUGGAAACGAAUGCUAAUACCGCAUAAUAACUUUAAACAUAAGUUUUAAGUUUGAAAGAUGCAAUUGCAUCACUCAAAGAUGAUCCCGCGUUGUAUUAGCUAGUUGGUGAGGUAAAGGCUCACCAAGGCGAUGAUACAUAGCCGACCUGAGAGGGUGAUCGGCCACAUUGGGACUGAGACACGGCCCAAACUCCUACGGGAGGCAGCAGUAGGGAAUCUUCGGCAAUGGACGAAAGUCUGACCGAGCAACGCCGCGUGAGUGAAGAAGGUUUUCGGAUCGUAAAACUCUGUUGGUAGAGAAGAACGUUGGUAAGAGUGGAAAGCUCAUCAAGUGACGGUAACUACCCAGAAAGGGACGGCUAACUACGUG